GACGAACGCUGGCGGCGUGCUUAACACAUGCAAGUCGAACGGAAAGGCCCUGCUUGCAGGGUACUCGAGUGGCGAACGGGUGAGUAACACGUGGGUGAUCUGCCCUGCACUUCGGGAUAAGCCUGGGAAACUGGGUCUAAUACCGGAUAGGAGCCAUUUUUAGUGUGAUGGUUGGAAAGUUUUUUCGGUGUAGGAUGAGCUCGCGGCCUAUCAGCUUGUUGGUGGGGUAAUGGCCUACCAAGGCGGCGACGGGUAGCCGGCCUGGGAGGGUGGACGGCCACAUUGGGACUGGGGUACGGCCCAGACUCCUACGGGAGGCAGCAGUGGGGAAUAUUGCACAAUGGGCGGAAGCCUGAUGCAGCGACGCCGCGUGGGGGAUGACGGCCUUCGGGUUGUAAACUCCUUUCGCUAGGGACGAAGCUUUUUGUGACGGUACCUAGAAAAGAAGCACCGGCUAACUACGUG
rnacentral:rRNA from 1 species